UGCGUUGCUCGGGAGACGCCACCACGAUGAAGGCAUGAACAAGCUGGUCCAUGCAUGGUUCUGGCUGUACCACAGGUAGGAUCGCAUGGUAUCCUUUCCACUUCCAUCAUGUUUCAAUUGUGCCAAUGCCUGCUUAUGAUACAAGAUUGCAACAAAUGAUUACAAUCAAUAGUCAUCUCUGUUAUUACCUUUCUGUAGAUGUAUGUUCUGUAAGUUGAUCUCAGUUCAUCUGGGUGUUCUUUUAGGAAUAGCUAACGGUUGUGUUUUCUGGCACCAAUAUGUUAGGUUUAUAAAGAUAAAUGAGAUCUAUAUAUAGCAGGAAAAUAUGCAUAUAGCCCAGAUGUGGUGAUUUGAAGAUGAAAGGAAGAGCUGAGAAGCUCGAGAGAGCUGGAGGAACAAGGAGAAGCUAAAAGGACAGCAGAAGAUGAGGCACUGGGGAGCUCUUAGACAUACAAUGUUCAACCUUGGUUGCUGAGGAUAAAUGCAAAAGAAAAUCAUCA
rnacentral:lncRNA from 1 species